GACGUAGGGCGCGAGCGUUGUCCGGAAUUAUUGGGCGUAAAGCGCGCGCAGGCGGUUUCUUAAGUCUGAUGUGAAAGCCCACGGCUCAACCGUGGAAGGUCAUUGGAAACUGAAGGGCUUGAGUACAGAAGAGGAAAGCGGAAUUCCACGUGUAGCGGUGAAAUGCGUAGAGAUGUGGAGGAACACCAGUGGCGAAGGCGGCUUUCUGGUCUGUAACUGACGCUGAGGCGCGAAAGCGUGGGGAGCAAACAGG
rnacentral:rRNA from 1 species